CCACCACACACACAUACACACACACACACACACACACACACACACACACACACGCAUAAAACCACCACACUGUCCGUCCUAUUUGCCCAUAUGCAUUGCGCUGUACAGAAUUAUCCAGUCAGCUGUGUCUCCUGGUACUAUUCAUUCUAAUAUGUGGAGACAAGCAAAUUAUUGACUCAACUUCAUACAACAUGAGUAAUAGAAAAUAAAACUGGCCAGGAAAAACGGUCCUGGGAUCUCUUCCUUCCAGAUUAGGUAUCUGUGGACUCCACUUUGCUGUGAUGGAAGAGUAUGGCACAGACAGACCUCUAGUUCUCUCAGCGGAGUUAUGAGUCUGGUUAAGUGUUGGGAAUGGAGCCUUGCUGCAAGCAACAAGGCUCCAUCUUGAAAGGUCAUAACCGCGCUGGCUACAUGACUGGAGUUUGAAAGAAUCUUAUGGUGAACUGUGGUGAAACCAUGACAACAGCAGCAUGGGGAGGAGAGUAAAAUAAACACGGACAUAUUGUUGGUUUGAAAUGCACAAUGAAGAGAAAUAAAAGCAGAAAGAUCUCCAGAAAGAAUCCAUGAUGAGAUUCAAGGUUUCACAGUCCAAGCUAAUGUCCGUGGAAACUUUCAGUGACCCAAGAACAUUGCACUCCUGGCAAAAGAAGUGUGGCAACACUAAGGCAAGUAUCUGCUUGAACAGAAAGAUGAUACAGAAAUACAGAAUGCAGGAGGAAGGAAUAGGAAGGACCCAACAAACUUGAACCAGGCUGGAAAAACUGGAAAGAUUCUAACUUUGGUCACCUGGAAGAAAUCUCUCGUAAGCUUCAUUGGGAAAUGCUGGGCCCUGGUGGGAAAGAGGUUGGAGCAUGGAGGACUACUGGAUUAGAUGGAGAGAGCGCCCAGGCAUCUCCAUGGCCCCACUGAUGUUCAAAACUUCCUCAGGACAGUGCUGAGCUACACUUGUGCACCUGGAAGAGAAGCAUUAUCAAAACAAAGGCUUUGCAAGAUGGUGCAGUGAGUAAAGUCCUUGUCAUCCAAGUGUGAAGAACUGAGUUCAAAUCUCCAGAAUCCAUGUAAAACCUGACAUGGUAGUAGGUAUCUCUAAUACCAGUGCUCCUAUGGUGGUCUGGGAGGUUGAGAUAGGAAAAUCCCCAGAAACUACUCCAGAACUAUCGUAAUAGGAGCCAAGAAGUCAUUUUUCCUACAGGGUCUCACUAUGUAACUCUGGCUGUCCUGGAACUCACUAUUAGAUCAGAAGGGACUUGAACUCACUGAGCUCUACCUACAUCUGUCUCCUGAGUGCUGGGAUUAAAGAUGUGCACUACCAUGUAGUUGAUCGGAUAUUAGACUCUAAACGGCUUCUCCACUCCAGUUUAGAUGAAGGAAACUUCUAGUCUACCAUUGCCCAGAAGUCUCUGACUGACUUUCUUGACCCAGACUCUCGCAGUCAUGGGUGGCUUUCCCCAACUUUUAAACCAAUGGAUGGCAGAAGCCAAAGGAGCUGAAAAAUCUGUACACCUAAAGAAGCUAAGCAAGAAGGAGGAUCCUCCACGAGAUGACCAGUCCUCACUCAGAAAGGCAAACGGGAUGGACAUCAGAAGAGGGCGAAAACAGGCAACAGGACAGGAGGCCACCACAGAGGGCUGUUGAAAGAUUCUACCCAGCAAGAAUUGUCUAAUCACUCCAAACAGGAAUUUAACAGAUAUUAAACAGUUGAAUCCUCAUUUUAUCCUCUUCAUGUUGCUGACUUCGUCGUUGUUGGUACAGAGCUUGACAACAUAAUGUUCUCGGAGCCUAAAGGCCACCCUUGAGGAGCCAUUGAGCAAUGGAACUUUGGAAAACCACAGAAUCAAUGAAGACAGCUAAGCACAGCUCUCCCUCUCCCGAAGCCUGCAUCAGUGCCUUGGGUGUGUACUGUUCUCUACCAAAGUCAUCGAAUCCUCCCACCACCAUAAUAUUCCCUCUCUCCCUCACUCUCCCUAUACCUCGUCCCAUGUGUAAGCCUGAAGGAUGUGCUAUCCCUUAUCUUGGCAUAAUAAAUCCACUAAAUUUGCUUCACAA